rnacentral:rRNA from 1 species
AUGAACGCUGGCGGCGUGCCUAAUACAUGCAAGUCGAGCGAACGGACGAGAAGCUUGCCUCUCUGAUGUUAGCGGCGGACGGGUGAGUAACACGUGGAUAACCUACCUAUAAGACUGGGAUAACUUCGGGAAACCGGAGCUAAUACCGGAUAAUAUUUUGAACCGCAUGGUUCAAAAGUGAAAGACGGUCUUGCUGUCACUUAUAGAUGGAUCCGCGCUGCAUUAGCUAGUUGGUAAGGUAACGGCUUACCAAGGCAACGAUGCAUAGCCGACCUGAGAGGGUGAUCGGCCACACUGGAACUGAGACACGGUCCAGACUCCUACGGGAGGCAGCAGUAGGGAAUCUUCCGCAAUGGGCGAAAGCCUGACGGAGCAACGCCGCGUGAGUGAUGAAGGUCUUCGGAUCGUAAAACUCUGUUAUUAGGGAAGAACAUAUGUGUAAGUAACUGUGCACAUCUUGACGGUACCUGAUCAGAAAGCCACGGCUAACUACGUG